CCCUGCAGACCGGGAGGACCUUGGCCACCAGGAGCACCAGGAGCACCAGCAUCACCCUAGAGCAGAUUAGAAGAGAAAGCAGGGGUAAAGAUGGAGAAAGACCCAUGCCUACCUUGGGACCAGAAAUGCCAUCAGCGCCAGGGAAACCACGGCUUCCAGGAGCACCCUAGGAUGGGACAAAGAGACAGGUGAGUUAAAGGCCUGUGUUUUCAGCAAGGGGCACUGGGAAAGAAAAGGGGGCUUCCCAGCACACAUGCAUCCUCCUCCUGCAGUCAUGCACAUCACAUCCCUGUGAGUAGGAACAGGCCACAGAUGUACAGUGCAGAGGGCCAUGGGUUUUGGUUAGGUGCUUUAUAAAAAUGGGGCUGAAGUCUCUUAUGAACUGGACCUGGCCUCCUGCAAAGUUGUUGAGGUUAUGGAGAUAGGGGCCAGUUGUGACAUGCAGAGUGGGAUCUGGGUCUAGUUCCAGAUCAGAGUUCCUCACUCCAAAUGUACAGGAGGCAUUAGGACCCAUCUCUGUGUGAGUGAGGUGGAGACAGAGCUCCAGAUCUGACUGGGAUGAUGCCAGUGAGCUGCUGGGAAACUGAGGCAGAGAGAGUGAGGUGCUACUUACACGUUCGCCAGCAGGGCCAGGAAGACCUCCAGGGCCGGGCUCACCACGGGCUCCUCUCUUGCCUUCUUCACCAGCUGGACCAGGUGGGCCUUGGACACCAGCAGGACCCUAGAGAGCAAGACAGAGGGGUGAGUGCUGCCUGUGUCCACUGAACCGGACUGGGAACAAAACUGUGAGAGGAGCUAGUAGGAUGGUACUUACAGGCUCUCCUUUUGCACCAGUGUCUCCCUUGUUGCCUUGAGCACCGGGUUCACCCUGGAGGUAGAAGAAAGAGAAGCCAUUUAAUUAUCACAUAUGUGUGACUAGAGCAUUACUGGAGGCUGUUACCCACGCUGAAAAACGAGGGCCCGAUCCUGUCAGGCACCAAGCAUCUUCAGCAGGAGAGCAGGAUUCAUAGCAUCUCUUUGAAAGUUCUCAGCACCCCCUGGCAAGGGAUAGAGGCCUUCGAUACUGUACUUCAGAUGGGAAGGGGAAAUGUGGAUGUUAGGGGCAGAAGGGUGGAGGAGGAACAUCUCCAGUGGCUGAGGACAAAGGACAGUGUUACCUGGACAGUUGUUGGACUAGUCAAGGAGGACACGUACUGGAGGGUUGAAUGGGCCAAGGAUUUUUUUACAAAGGGACCUUGCUGCCCUCUCCAAGCCCAAUGGAUCUUUGCCACCCCCUGGAAGGUGCGUGGGGCCAGUCCAAUUCAUCUACAAUGAAGAGCAAUGAAUGACACUUACACUGUUACCCUUGGGGCCAGGAGCACCGCUGGGACCCUGGGGUCCAGAUGGGCCACGAGCGCCAGGGAAGCCAGGAGCACCAGCAAUACCAGGAGCACCCUAGAGGAGGCAGAAGAGAGAGUAAGGCAGCUGAUAAAACCUCUCUGCUGAGAGCUGCUCAGCUCUGGAGAAAGAGGGAGGAUGAUACUUACAGUUGCACCUUUGGCACCAGCUUGACCAUCAGAACCAGGGUUGCCCUAGAAGAGAGGAGGCAGGACAGCAAUGUUAUCACUGGGGACAACCAGACAGGUGGGAAGCAAUUAGGCAAAGGGAAACUGCAAGAGUCACUUGUUGGUUCCACUUACAGCAGGACCAGCAGCACCAGCAGGGCCAGGAGGACCAGGCUCACCACGAGCACCCUGUGGGCCUUCACUACCACGAGAACCUUGAGGACCAGUUUCACCCUACAGAAGGAAGAAAGACCACUGAGCACCAUGGUUGCUGCAGAAACUCCACCAACCCCUCCACUCAAGGGAAAACCAUUUUCCCUCAGGUCUGAUGACUAGACUGGAGCUGGCUUGCUCUGCUGAGACCUGCUACCUCCAUCUCUGUGGUGAGGCAAAAGGGUUAUGGGAUGGUGGGUGGACAAUUACUAGGGCCCCUUAGUAAUCUCCAAGGCCCUUAGAUUGGAAUAAAAAAAUGCUACUGCUGUUAAACCCCAGGCUGAUUAAAGGAAUUCCCUUAGUGUCAUCACAGGCGAGGCUAGGUUUCACUCCAUGCAGAGCAGAGGUGAACACACAAGACUAUAUUGCAUGUUGAGGGGCACAGGGGCAGGUUUGGGCCCCUCAUCCAGCUCUAAUUUUAAAGCUCAUGUGGACAAUACAUUAAAAAAUCUCAAAUUAAAGUCUAAGAUUAGCUUCCACGCAAGGCAACUGCCACAGAAGCUCAUCUGCAGAAAUGCAGAGGUCCACCAAGGUGAAAAGAGAGGCAUGUGUCCUUACCUUAGCACCAGCAGCACCAGGGAAGCCAGGGGGGCCAGCUGGGCCAGUUGGACCCUAAAUGAACAAAAGGGUAUAUUAGUGCACAAUUAUAAUGAAGAUCGAUCAGGACCUGGCAGGUUCUCUCAGCAGCAGCCAUCUUGGCCUCAGCCAGGAUUUCCAAGCUGCGGUCAGAGGUUUGGUCUGUGAUUUGACAGCAGCAGGAAAAGGGAGAGCAGAGGGAGAAAACCCUCCUAUCCUGUGGGCAGCUAGUUCCUGAGAGGGGUUGUGCUGGUGCCACGAUUAUGGCUAAGCCAGCCAAGUUCCACAAGGAGAGAGAUGUGGCAAUUACCGUAGUCAGCAUGUGCAUGGUCCUACCUCUGCAUGCAGAGGUUAUUCCUUGGUAUUGGGAGUAUACUUACUGGAGGGCCAGCAGCACCAGGACUACCAUCGUUACCACGAGCACCCUGCAGGCAAGAAGAAGAGAGAGGCAGGGGUUACAAUCACAUCUGUGCUCAGUAGUGGCCCCAGAAGUGGACCCUGUCACAUGAGCCAUGGAGCUAUUCCAUGGGGCAAAACCAAUAGUGACACUGCCAAGGGGAUGUUUCCAUGUGAGCACACCUCAGUGGCAUAGAAUAUAUACUUACAGCAGGGCCAGAUGGACCAGGGCGGCCUCUCUCACCGGGAAGACCACGAGGGCCCUAGAAAGGUGCAGAGACACAAGUUACUCAAAAGGAGAUGUCAUCCUCACCCUCUCUGCAAUAUGCCUCUAGCUUUGUAUCUGUACAGCUCAGCACCUGCCACACUCCACAACUCACCCACCUCCUGCCAGGCUUCAGGCUGAUAAGACAGUCUUCACUGCUUUUUAGUGCCAAGGCACUAUUGUAAAACCAAGCCCUCUGAAAGCAAACUCUGCUCUCUCAAAUGCAUCUCUUUCCCUGCACUCUUCCCUUAUUCUUACAGGCUUCAUGCUACCCGCUUUUUAACCUCCCUGGUGCUUCAGUCUCACUUCAGCUGAGCCCAGAUAUUUCUGCCAAGGGACAGUGGGAAGGCAUAAGGGUCUACUCACCAUUUGUCCAGGAGCUCCGUUCUCACCAGGGCUACCAGGCUCACCCUAUAGGAAGGACAAAGCUGGAGUCAGUGUCUGAUUUCCAUAGGGAAAGGAGAAAAGGACCGCUCUGAGGAAACACAUAGGGUCAACAUGCCCCCUAGAGAUGUAAUCUUACCUUGGGGCCGGAUGGACCAGCAUCACCCUUAGCACCAUCCAGACCACUGAAACCCUGGAGUGAAGGAAAGAGAAAUAUGUAAGUACCUAGGAAACAAGGCCAGGAGGAAGCAGCCUCCUUCCCUGUUGAAGUAUAGCUGAAAACAGUCAGGCUUUGUCACAGCGUUUUGAGGUCAUUCUUCAGGGGUGUGAAAGCUUCCUUUGUCAGCCAAUCUGUGGCAUGAGGAAGGGGUUUUCCUCCAAGAGACUGUGAGAGCAUGUAGCUGGUGAUGCAGCUCUUGUGGUUGCCCAGGGUUCUCUGUGGCAAAUCUCUCAUUGACUGCCCUUGGAGGGUGUCAGCGGAAGGCAUUAUGAUGCCAAUUCAGAUCCUCCUUGUUUCCUUUGUGCCCAGAGGUCCAUGCAAAGCAUGCAUGAUCAGAUAACAACAUUGGCAGCCUUUGGAAGUUCUCCUUGUUUUAAAGAGGAGUAACUAGGGAUCAACUUACUCUGUGACCCUUCAUGCCUGGCAGGCCAGCAGUUCCGGGCAGACCACGUGCACCCUGGGGAAGAGAAAAAAAAAACCCAAGUGAGAGGCAUAUUCAGAAAGAAGGACACUAAUUCCUCCAUGACAUAUCCCAGUUAAGAUGUGGCAGCUGGGAACUCAGCCCAGUGGAUUGUUGGGGUGCCAAGAGGCAAAACCAUAACCCUACUGUGAUUUUAACUCCUAGUUGUUGGCAGUGGUCAGCCUGGCCUAACCAGUGCCAGCAUGGGCUAGACUCAACUCCCUCCCGGUCAGCGGCUACCAUGUGAAGCAAGCUAGCACCACGUACAGUUAACCAAGAGGUUUCUAGAACCCCCUGACCACUUGCGCCCAACCAGCCCAUUCCCAAGCACCUCACAACGUUGCUAUUGAAGGGGCAAUUCCAUCAUGUCACUAAUGUAGCAAAGAACCAGAAGACAGAAGAGGUGUCUCACCUGGGGGCCAGGAGGGCCGCGCUCACCGGGACGGCCGGGCUUUCCAGCUUCACCCUGGGAGAAGGAAGAAAAGAAGAACUAUCAGCUGAAGCCACAUCCAUAAGCCCAUGACUCAUUUACAAUUAAAACUGUCUAACCAGUAAACACUCCAGAGAAGGGUACUCAGUUCCUUACAAAAACCUCUCUGGACAGAGACCCCAUUUUCUUUUCCCUCUAUGUUUCAAGGCAACCAUGGAAGCUAAAGCCUCAGCUGCCUCACUUGUGCACGUAAAGCCUUGGUAUCACCAGGGUGCAGCCAGAUACUAAUAUCUGGCCAACAAACAGGACAAUUCACCACAUCCCAGCACCUUCUGUAUAAGGACUUCUGAUCUUAAAGGUUGCUUACAUCAUCUCCGUUCUUGCCAGGGGGGCCGGCUGGACCACGGGGACCCAUUGGACCCUAGGAGAGGGAGAAGACACAUGUGUUAAUGUUCUGAAAGCAGAAGAGACUCCCUCAUGGCCAAACCUCCCGUAACUAUCCCUCCUGCAAGGCUAUUGCAAGACUGGCUAUCCAGUUGGAUAUAAAAAUCCAGUCUCUCUGAUGCAGCAGCUUGCUUUAUCCAAGUGUACCCCCAGUGGUGGAAGUGGGAAUGGCAAGGAUGAAUACCAGGCUAGGGCUUGGAAAAUCAGUAUUCAGCCCAGCACAGUAACAUGUGAGGAGCAAGGAGAUGACAAUCCAUGACUUACUGAAGCACCAGGCUCUCCAGGCUCUCCAGGAGGACCUUGGAAACCUUGAGGACCCUGGAGGAUUAAAAAAGAAGAAAAUCAGCUAGGGAACGAGCAGAAUUGAACCCACAUAACUCAGGAAAAGCCCUCAGUGCUAUAAGCAGAGCCUCCAGCCUGGGGAGGAGACAUGAACCUCCAUUAUAUUCCCCAGGCAAGGUGUUGGUUGCUUACCUACACCCAUAAUGAGAGAAAGAAGGUUGGAAAGGCCAAGCCCUCCCCCAGUUCAUCCUCCCAGCUCCCGUUGUCCCUCCUCCUCUGGGAAGGUCUCAUGAAGCUGAGGUGCCAGUAGGGCCACUCUCAUUCCCAGAGGAGCUGGGCACAAUGCAUCCAUCAAAGUUUUCUUGAAAGGGGUACUUACAGGAGAACCAGGGGGGCCGGGGAGACCACGGGGGCCAGCUGGACCCUAGAAAUGAAGAAGAGAAAAUACAGAUCACCCAGGUGAAGAGAUGAGAUGGAGAAGCCUCUUUGUUACCUGUGCCUCCAGCUCGACUUUCAGUGAUUCCCUCUCCUUUCCCACCCCUUCCUCUGCCCACCCCAGUUCCUUUUCACACCUGCCACUGAUUGGUAAUGGUGUCCGUUCUCUCACGAUAUGGUAGGAGUGGGCCUGUCACUUGAGAAGCUUUCCUCCCUUUUUUGUGACAACCUUGCUUCCUUACCUCUUCUCCUCAAGGACAGAGUCUGUGGAGGUCCCUGUAACUCCCAAUUAUUCUGGUCCCAGGUAGUCUCUGACCCAAAUAUUCUCAUUUCAGGGACAAAUAUUAUUGAGACAGCCAGCCCCGGGUCUCAGACUCGCAUAGGGUGAAAGUGGACUCUCUCUCUCUAGUCCUGGGCAGCUAGGGUUGUUCCUCAGCAUUCUGCUGUCCUAGAAAACCUCAGCCCCUGCCAGCCUGUACCCUGACCCCAGACAUACAUUUACUGCCCAGAUGUUCUGCCUGCACGACGCUGCUGACCUUGCAUGUUGCAAGGCUGAGAGAAGCCAAAAUGGGACCUCUGUUCCCUACCCUCACACUCUCCAACCACUUCCCAGGUGUCCCCCAUGAUUUCUUCUCCUGCUUCUGUCCUUGGCAUCAGGUUAACAUCUUGCCCAGACCCUAGAGGGCAAUGCUGGAUGCUCACCAUGGGUCCAGGGACAGAAAUGCCAGCAGAUUUGGUUUCAUCUCCGUAACCGUAAGCCAUUUGAGGAGCGAAGUUCUGCAGGGAAGAGAGAGAAGGUGUGAAGAGACUGCGCUGAGCUCAUUGUGACCUGGGGAAGAACUGGGCUGACAUUCUAAAGACAACUCACUCCACCAAGGCCAGGAGGGCCUGGAGGUCCUGGGAGUCCAGGGAGACCAGGCUGUCCAGGAAUGCCAUCUCUGCCAGGUGGGCCUGGGAGUCCCUGGAAGAGAAGAUGACAGAAUUCAGAGGUUAGUGUCACAGUCAGGCUGUCCCAGGCUGAUCCACAACAGUUGGGCAGCAGGGUGCCUGGAACAGGUCUGAAUGUUCCAUCAAUGGAUUUUAGAUUUGGGAUGAAAAUUUUGCUGGAAAUGCUGGAAUUUUAUAUUUCCAUGGAAUUCCCCCUUCUGUGCCCCAUUUUCAGACCAGUUUUAGUUAACAUGGGCUGCAGAUACCUACCCUCUGUCCUCUGGGGCCAGUGUCUCCCUUAGGACCCUGGUGGAGAGAAAAGAAAGGUGUUUAGAGAAUGAUCAGAGGGAGAAAGAAGACAUUAAAGAAAGCAACAGGGACUAUGCUUCCAUAGAAAAAUUAUGAAGUAUAGUUACCUCUACUCCAGUGGAUUUGGGGUAGGUAGAAGAGCCUGUGAGGAAAGAGAGGACACAGGGUCAUUCAGGCAACCUGUAUAACCAUCCCCAGGCAUUCCUGUGUUCUUGGUAACCACCCCACUGAUACCACUGGAGCUGCACUGAUGUAGGGAAGCAGAACCUGUGCUAUCCACACACCUCUUGCUGGUUCUACGCUAAUGUUGUAGUUGCCAGACCAAUUCUAAAGUUAACCACCUGGGAGAGACCUGCACUUCAUUCCCUGCCCCACCCUGUAAUAGGUGUAUGCUCUACUGAAGGGUCAUAUUUGUGUCCACCGUGCUUUAUGCUCGUCCAUUGGACACUACCAGGAAUAAUCAGGACCGUAAGAAAUGCCUCUAAAAAAGAAGAUGCCCAUGAGAGCUCAAAGGAGAGGCUUCCCAUUUCCCAGCUGGGGUGCAUGUUCUGGUCUCAUAUUAUAGCUGGGCACUCUAUGAUAGCCUGAUGAGGGCUGAUGAGACUAUCUGGUUUCCAGUCUAGGUUUUGGUGGUCUUCCAGUCACCCAUGUCAUGCCCUUCCUGCCUGGUUAGCAAGGGAUGAUUGCAUUUAAUCCCUGUAUACUGUAGUGACUGGGCCCUUCUCCAAGGCUACCCAGGCAGACAGAUAGAGGCUGGUCCAUACCAGCGGUGUCAGGACAGAUGGGACAGCAUUCUCCAAAGGGGAUCUCAGCAUUGGUACAGUCCGAGGUAUCAUCACAGAUGACAUCGUCACACAGGAUGUUGCCAUUGUCGCAUACGCAGAUCUGGCAGGGCUCGGGUUUCCAUACGUCUGUGUUGUUGUACGCUAGUCCAUCCUG